rnacentral:rRNA from 1 species
CCCCAGAUCCUACUAGAGGAGCCUGUUCUGUAAUCGAUAAUCCGCGUUUAACCUCACCAUCUUUAGUUAAUCAGCCUGUAUACCUCCGUCGUCAGCUUACCACGUGAGCGCAAAUCAGUGGGCCUAAUGUUAUUACACCAAUACGUCAGGUCAAGGUGCAGCAAAUAAGAUGGGAAGAGAUGGGCUACACUUUCUAUUUUAGAAAAAACGGAAAACUACCUAUGAAACCUAGUUGGAAGGCGGAUUUAGCAGUAAAAAGGAAUCAACACGUCCAUUUUAACUUGGCACUGGGGUGUGU